UAUUGGAUGGGCCCGCAAGUGUGUAAGAUGCACAAGAAGCACUUUGCUUUUACACAGUCAUACAUGUUACACAAAUUGAUGGUGCACUGGGUUGCUCUUAAUAUAAUUUCUAUAAUAUAUAUAUAUAUAUAUAUUUUCAAUCAUUUCUAAAAUAUAGAUUAUUAAUAUAUAUAUAUAUAUAUGAUGGACAGCCGGACCUGGUUUGGUGUGGGCAUUCUGCUGUCUGGAACGAUGUCGUGUAAGGCAGUAUAAUAACCCGGGAGAGUACUUAGGGUUCAUGAGGAAAGAGGAGUUUUGGGAAGGAGAUCCAAAUUUUCAACAAGAUUCCCUCCGAAGAACAAGAACACAACAGGCUGUUGAUGAUGUUGAUCGGGCGCAUGUUGAAAUUCAAGCUCUUUCCUAUGAUAUUCAAGUGGUACUUCGGAGCUUUUCAUCCUCAGGGCUUAGCUAUGUCUAUCAGACCAGUAACGAGGUUGCGCAUGCUCUUACGAAGCUUUUUAGAUGUCAUUGUUGGGAUUUAUAUGCCCUAGCAUAGCAAAUUUCUGUUUGGAUUAAAGUGACAUAUGUUCCUGACGUUUUUGAAAUAUUUAUAUUUUAUACAAUUGGUGAAUUCAAUGUAUUAUAUUUCGAUUCA